CCGGGACCGGACGGCGGGACCGAAGGCGCCGCCGCCGCCCGCCUCCCUCACCUCCUCCUCGCAGUCGCUCUUGAAGCACAGACACGCCGCCCGCUUCUUGUAGCCAUCGCCGUCGAUGUGGACAAUACCGGCAGUGUUUAUCAUCCAUCUCUGAUUGCUGCUGAACUGAGGAGGCAGCUAAAAGGCAACCACACAGAUGACAGACUCACGUCGUCAGCACUUUUACAUUCCUUGGAGUAUGACGGAACUAAUCAGAGAAUAUAUCCUGUAACACAAGUGUCCUUCUUCCACUGGCCAAGUAAUGGAGACCCCCAAGAAGUACCCACCUUUCCCUUUCUACCCCCCAGACUACAGCCUCCCAACCCCCAGGCCCUGAGUGAUGUGAUCAAGAAGACAUUGCCUCCAUCUGACAAUCACAUCCACCGGCUCAGAUACUGGCACUUCACUGGCGGUGGAGGAUAAUUCUGCAUGCGGGGUGCUGCCAGGUACACAGACUGCUGGCGGUGCCGGUGGGACACAGACGUGUAUACCAGCACCCCCCGUGGUGUGAUCACACACCGCUCCUGCUCCAGAGGCCUCAGGGGAGGACUCCCUGAAAGCUGGUGUACAUGUACAUGUACACAAAAACAUUUGGGACUGUGGGAGAGGUUUAUCAUUAUGGGGAAGUCCUUGGAUGUGGUGGAAACCAUGCUGUGACAUUUGAUGGGUGAGAUCAUGUCUUCCACAGGCUGCUACAGUGGAAGCUCAUAGAGUCAUAGAGAGCAGAAACAGGCCCUUUGGCCCACCGCGUCCAUGCUGACCAUUUUACACUAAUCCUAUUUUAUUCUCCCUACAUUCCCAGUAACUUCCUUAGAUUCUACCAUUCACUUGCACGAGGGGCAAUUUACAGUGGACAAUUAACCUACCAACCCGAAUGUCUUUGGGAUGUGGGAGGAAACCGGAGUGCCCGAGGGGAAACCCAUUUGGUCACGAGGAGAACAUGCCAAUUGCACACAGACAGCAGCGGAUGUCAGGAUUGAACCAGAGUCACUGGAACUGUGAGACAGCACCCUACCAGCUCUGCCACUGUGCUGCUUUUACAUCUGCCAACCAUAAUCCUAACCCUAAACUUAGCUUGCUGCCACUGGGUCUGGAUUGCAGUGUUCGAUGGGGAUCCGAGAGUGUGAUGCCUCUCCAGGAAUUUGUCUUCCAAUGGAGUAGUUGGAUCACUGGAGCAGUUCCCAGGGGCACUGCCAGUGGCCCCCAUGGGCAACAAAUCUGUUGUCCUUUGUCAGGAUGAUGGCAUCGAUGCUCAGAGCCCUGCCAUUCGGACUGUGCCUUUGCUGAUGCAGUUAGCCGGUUCGCCCAGACUGCUACUGCUCACGAUGAGACCCUCAGUUCAAAGCUCAGGCCAGGAACUGCUCAGGGCUGCCCUUGACAGCCAACUGCAGCUUCCUUCACUGCAAGUGGAUAACACCAUGAGGGAGCACGCUGUGGAAUAGUAGCAUAGCCAGAGGAGGAGAGGCACUGUACCAUUAAGAUAUCUUUAUUAGUCACAUUUACAUCGAAACACACAGUGAAAUACAUCUUUUUGCAUAGCAUGUUCUGGGGGCUCCUCGCAAGUGUCGCCUCGCUUCCAGCACCAACAUAGCAUGCCCACAACUUCCUAACCCGUACAUCUUUGGAAUGUGGGAGGAAACCGGAGCACCCGGAGGACACCCACGCAGGCAUGGGGAGAACGUACAAACUCCUUACAGACAGCGGCCGGAAUUGAACCCGGGUCGCUGGUGCUGUAGUAGUGUUACGCUAACCACUACACUACCGUGUCUUGAAUGGAUGUAUACAUUGCUUGGUGUGGAGAUGAUAGAGGGGUGGCAACGUCUGAACUGAGCCACAACGGGCACUUGGUUGUCUGUCUAUUGUCAUGGGUAGUGAGAUUCAUUGGGAGCACUUACUUAAUAGCAGUAACUGUUGUUGAAGCUGAUGAGAAGCCACCUUCCUGAUUUGCUUCAGUGCCUGGUAGUGACAGAAGCCCAACCCCACUGUUAUGGAAGCAGCUCCAACACUGAGGAUGGGUGAAUGGCAAAGCGGAGACGGGAUGCGGUGAAAUCCACCCCGGAGGACCCAAGGAGCAGCUGCCUUGUGAUGCGGAAUAAGCACUGAUGAGUGUUUGCUUUCCAUUCUGUAUGACGCAUGCUGCUAGCAUUGCAAUGUGUCAAGGUGGUUAAUGGGGGUGGCAGUGGACAUAUGGAUGUUGGGAUCAGGUAUAGUGCAUUCAGCCCUUGAACCUGCUCUAUUGUUCAGGUUGAUGAUCUCUGCAUUAUAAUACCUACCUUUGCUCCAGCUCCCAUUGCACACUCACCCAACAAAAUGUACCAAUAUCAUAAGUCACAUGUCACAGAAGUCACAUAUUAGUCACACGUACAUCGAAACACACAGUGAAAUGCAUCUUUUGCGUAGAGUGUUCUGGGGGCAGCCCGCAAGUGUCGCCAUGCUUCCGGCGCCAGCACAGCAUGCCCACAACUUCCUAACCCGUACGUCUUUGGAAUGUGGGAGGAAACUGGAGCCCCCGCAAGAAACCUAAUCAGACACGGGGAGAACGUGCAAACUCCUUACAGACAGCGGCCGGAACUGAACCCGGGUCGCUGGCGCUGUAAUAGCGUUAUGCUAACUGCUACACCACCAUGCCGCCCACAGUUUCAUCAGUCAUGAAAGUUUGAAUUGACUCCCAACAUUCACAGCCAUUAAAGAGUUCUACGUUUGCCUCGGUGUUUCCAUUAUAAAUGCACACAUGGGAAUUUAUUAUAAAAAUGGUAACAAGAAAAGAAUAGAGAUGUAAAAUAAUUAAUGUCUUACAUUUUAUUACGUUGUAAUAUUUUGUUUUUUUUUACAUAGAGUUAUUGUGCAUUGACAGAUACAUCUUGAUCCUGUUGAUAUAAGCAUUUCAAUUUCAUCUGUCAUUUUUGGUGCAGUCUCUGAAUUAUGUUACCUGCCUCCAAACAAUCCAUCUUGAUUUUAUACUUUGCGCCAGUAAUUUAUUGUCAGGGAAUGUUGUCAAAAUUAAGGCACUAACAUACCCCAGGCCGUAGCCAGCAGAGUGACAUAAUUAGAACAGCGGCCCGGAGCUCUGCCCUUUAUUCAGUGCAAGGUCUCCUGUUACCAGCCUCAAACUUCAUGGAAACUUUUGUUCUGGAAUCGAUCACGAUACAAAGACAAAUUUAUAGAGGUGUCUACAGUUCCCGUUUUAAUCUUUCUGUUCAUAAUAUAAAUGCUUGGCUUUCUGCUCAUCAGUACCUUAAAUUUAACUGACCCAAAUAGUAUUGCAGCUCUCCAUGCUGCUUUAAUUAAAAUAUGUUAAUCAUGCAACAAAUAGGUAAAACAUGCAACUUUUAUUUUGUGCCUUUAAAGUAGUAAAACAUUCCAAGGCAUUUCACAGUUGUGGCCUCAUGAAAAUGUGGUGCCAGGCUGAGGAAGGAGCCUUCAACAUCAAGUGUUUGGCCAGGAGUGGUUUUUAAGCAGCAACUUAAGAGAGGAGAGAGAAUAGGGAAGUGAGGAGGUUCCAGGGGCAACACCUUCAGCAGAAGGACUGCAGUGGUUCAAAUAAGACGCUCACCACCACCUUCUCAAGAGCGGUUAGGUAAUAAGUGCUGGCUUCGCCAGUGACACCUAGAUCCCCAGAAA